UACAGAGGUCUCAAGCGUUGUUUGGAUUCAUUGGGCGUAAAGGGUGUGUAGGUGGCGCGCUAAGUCGGGUGUGAAAUUUCGGAGCUUAACUCCGAAACUGCAUUCGAUACUGGCGUGCUUGAGGACUGGAGAGGAGACUGGAAUUCAUGGUGUAGCAGUGAAAUGCGUAGAGAUCAUGAGGAAGACCAGUGGCGAAGGCGGGUCUCUGGACAGUUCCUGACGCUGAGGCACGAAGGUCAGGGGAGCAAACGGG
rnacentral:rRNA from 1 species